rnacentral:rRNA from 1 species
GACGAACGCUGGCGGCGUGCCUAAUACAUGCAAGUUGAGCGAUGAAGCUUGGUGCUUGCCCCAAUUUGAAGAGCAGCGAACGGGUGAGUAACGCGUGGGGAAUCUGCCUUUGAGCGGGGGACAACAUUUGGAAACGAAUGCUAAUACCGCAUAAUAACUUUAAACAUAAGUUUUAAGUUUGAAAGAUGCAAUUGCAUCACUCAAAGAUGAUCCCGCGUUGUAUUAGCUAGUUGGUGAGGUAAAGGCUCACCAAGGCGAUGAUACAUAGCCGACCUGAGAGGGUGAUCGGCCACAUUGGGACUGAGACACGGCCCAAACUCCUACGGGAGGCAGCAGUAGGGAAUCUUCGGCAAUAGACGAAAGUCUGACCGAGCAACGCCGCGUGAGUGAAGAAGGUUGUCGGAUCGUAAAACUCUGUUGGUAGAGAAGAACGUUGGUGAGAGUGGAAAGCUCAUCAAGUGACGGUAACUACCCAGAAAGGGACGGCUAACUACGUG